UACGUAGGGUGCGAGCGUUGUCCGGAUUUAUUGGGCGUAAAGAGCGUGUAGGCGGCCAGGUAGGUCUGCUGUGAAAACUCGAGGCUUAACCUCGAGCUGUCGGCGGAAACCAUCUCGCUAGAGUCCGGAAGAGGAGAAUGGAAUUCCCGGUGUAGCGGUGAAAUGCGCAGAUAUCGGGAAGAACACCCGUGGCGAAGGCGGUUCUCUGGGACGGUACUGACGCUGAGACGCGAAAGCGUGGGGAGCGAACAGG
rnacentral:rRNA from 1 species